CAGUGAACAAACAUCAGGCUGUCGGACGUGUCCUCUCUCUUUCAGACGUGUCCUCUCUCUCUCAGACGUGUCCUCUCUCUCUCAGACGUGUCCUCUCUCUCUCAGGUGAGUCCCUCUCGCUCUCAGACGUGUCCUCUGUCUGUCGGACGUGUCCUCUCUCUCUCAGACGUGUCCUCUGUCUGUCGGACGUGUCCUCUCUCUCUCAGACGUGUCCUCUCUCUCUCAGGUGAGUCCCUCUCUCUUUCGCAAAUAUACACUCACAUUGUUCAACACGUCUUCACGCAUGUCUGCAGCUGCACAGAUGCAUGAUGGGAAGGUUUCCUGUUGUUAGUGGUGGGAGCUGCAGCCUUAAAGUUUCACUGAGACACGUGUUGUCUUUGAAGUAUUUUAUUUUAACAUCAGCUUGAAGCCAUCAUGUCAUUUAAACUAUUAAUAUUUCAUACUUGAUGUCCCACCUGUCCCUCUGUCUGUCUGUCUGUCUGCCUCCCAG
ensembl:lncRNA